AUGGUGUGGGAAGAAUUCCAAGUGAGCUGCUCAUAAAUGUCGUCCACAAUUUUAGACACCUGGAAGAAGAAUUUUUGUAGGUCAGCAAAGUGUCACCUUCUUUGUUUACCUUUAAGCCUAGCCAUGUCUUGGUUUUAUGAACUCAACCUUUUUUGGAAGGACCAAUGUAGCAAUUAGCAUACAAAUAAGCAAUAGCUGAAAGUGUAUUUAUAUAAUUACAAUGCAAAAUAUUUAAGGUCAGGAACUAUGAAGUCAUGUAGUUGUGGAAAUUGGGGGAAAUAGCUUUAAAAACGUAGCUUAGUUGAGGCAAUAAAUUGCCAAACCGUACUUCUGUUCUGUUUCUCUUUGGCUAGUAAUUUGCUGUAGUAGAAGCUAGUUUUACACCCCUGGGUUUCUUUUUGACUUUCCUUCCUGCCUCCAGUGAUAUGCUGUGGCUUUUUCUAGGCUCUCUGAGUGCUUUCUCCUGUUGGAGAACUCCGUCUGGUUAAGGAGAUGACCACAGACCUCCCAUUUCCCUCAGGUUGUGUUUGCUCUAUGGAAUGUCUUGCCCACAGCAGCUCUGAGAACUCUCUAUGAUGCGGUCCUUUAUCUGGCCUGCUCUCUGAAUUUGAAUGACUCUCCUUGUCUACCUUCUUUCCCAGUACAUGAUUAUAUCAGGAGAGGAAACUGUGAGUCUCAUGUGUCCAUCAUUGUCAGGACUGUCUUCAUGGGUCUGUGACCUAAGGGUCUGUAUGAGGAUCCAUGUUCAGAUCCUCUCAGUCUCGUCUAAAACUUAGAUUUUUUUUUCAUUUUAAAGUUUUGCAGUUUUUGAGAUUGGGCAUUAUAAUUCAAUCCCAAUGGGACAAGUACAGGGUAUCCUUGUAAUAUUGUGAGAUUUGCAUGGUUCCUGGUGCUGAACAAUUCUAUAUUCUGUCAAUUAUAUUUUAAAUAAAGGCUGAUUGGCCAAUAGUCAGGCAGGAAGUAUAGGUGGGAAAACCAGACAGGAAGUAAAGGUGGGAUAAUGAGAACAGUAGUAUUCUGGAAAGAAGGAAGCUCUUUCCGCAGUCCUGUCCAGACACCGAAGAAGCAGGAUGUGACCUGCCCCACCAAAAAAGGUACAAAGCCAUGUGGCUAACAUAGAUAAGAAUAAUGGGUUAAUACAAGUUAUAAGAGCUAAUUUGAAGCCUGAGCUAAUGGGCCAAUCAGUUUGUAACUUAUGUAGACCUCUGUGUGAUUUUCUUUGGGACCUAACGACUGUGGGAACUAGGCAGGACAGAAACCUCAACCAGCAAGCCCUCAUGUUACAAGUUCCUGCAUCCCCAGUUACUUGUAAUGGUCAUUGUGCUUCUUCAUGUGCAUAGGAUUGCCAUAAUUUGUGGAAGUCCAGUGGGAAAACAAACUGGAUACCAGAGGCAUUUAACUGCAACCACUUAGCUGGAAAAUGAUGGCAUAGAAAGGAAGAGGUGUGUUUUUUUGAUAAGGUGUGUUUGAGCCUAAAGGCUAAACAAAGGAGCCCCAGGAAUCCACCUGUCUCAGGUGAAUAUCUAUAACUCAGGACUAGAGUUACAGGCAUAUUUCAUUGUACUUGGCAUUUAUCUAGGUAUCAAAAUCAGGUCUGCAUCAUUGGCCAGCAAGCAUUUUACCCACAGUCAUUUCAUCAGUCUGAGAUAUGAGGCCUUUAAGAGAUGACUACGUCUUGGGCAUCAGUGCUUCUGAGGUUACUAUGGUUAUCCCUAGGAGUGGGUUCCUUGCUCUUGGGGUAGGUGUAUGAUUAGAGAAUGAGUUUGGCCCUUUCUUCUUUGUCUUGCAAUGUUCUCUUGCCUUUCCUACUUCUCCCAGGGGAUGACACAGCAAGAGCUAUGGGUUUCACAGAAUCAAACACUGUAAGAAAUGAACCUCUAUUCACUAUAAACUGUCCAUUCUAAAUGUAUUCUGCUUUUGUAAUACAACAGCAAUUUAUUUAUUUUCAAUCUUUCCUUAUUUGUCAGGACACUGAAGACAGAAAAUUCUAAUAAGAUAUGUGGAUGACAAUGAGUGAAAUAAAAACACUCGUUGCCAACUACAUCACCAUGGUGAUCUUCUGAGCAUGAUAUUCCAAAGUCAGCGUCAGUAAGGACGCGGCCUCCGAGGCUGUCUCAUCAUCAGGAGAGGAAAGUUUCUUCAGGAGGGUCCACACAAAGUCAGUCAGAAAGGUCUGAGGUCCAAGACAGCAGACUGCACCCAGCCCUCCACUGCUAGCCUACAGCUGCUCAACAAACCAGUGAGGGAUCAUAACCUUGGAAAGCUGUGGAGGAAACCCCAAGUACUACUGUGGCUGGGGGAGGCAGGUGUGAUUAGGUGAGCUCUGGAGUCCUGGGACAAUGAGAGAUGUGGAACUAAGUGACCCCAGCUGGCUCACCAACCCUCAACGUGAAACAUUGCCUUCUUGGAGUUCAGAACAUAUUCACCAUAUCAAUCCAGCCCUGCCAUCCAACACACCUGUGAAAAUGCAAGAUUGUUCCUCUAAGUCACUGAGGUGGCCCCUGCCCUGGCUUGAUUCUGUGUACUGGUCAGCAGUACCAAAUAAGGAGGAAGGUGGAGAGAGCAAAGGACGAAGUCUAUGUCUUGGAGUCCACAGUAUGUCUUCUCUUGGACGGCAUCUCAGCAGCACUGAUUUCAGUGUUCAGAUGGACCGUAUAUAUGAGCCCCAAUAAAACUGCGCACAUUGCUGUGUGUGGUGUACCUCUAAUUUCAAAUUCUCCUCAUAUUCACUUAAGAAAAACUCUCUGAUGCUUGCCUGGCAGGGGAGAUACCCGGGUACCCUGGGCACACUGACUCUUGUAAUUGCUCCAGAUAUGGGAAACUCAAUGGCAUAAUUUGUGGUGAUGAGGAUCAGGACUUGAUUUUUUUUUUCCUCUAAAUAAAUUAAUUAAAUAAAAAGAAAAGAAAGCAAGUCCGGAAUCUGGAUUGUAAACAGGAA